UUGGGAUUCUUUCUCUCCAUCUCUGUCUGCUCCUCCCCAGUGCUCACUCACUCUCUCUUUCUCUCUCUCUCUCAAAAUAAAUAAAUAAACGUUUAAAAAACAAAGAAAAUAUAUUAGUAAAUAUAUAUGAUCAUGACUACAUAGACAGCAAUAAUGUCUUAUGUUCUCUAUCUAUAUAAACGAUUAUUUUAUCAUAUUAAUAGGAAGAAAAAAUUACACUGUCCCAGUAUCCUUUCAUUACCUGGGAAGGGUAUAAAGAUGCCAGUAACAUUAUAUUUUCUUACAUCAAGAAUACAAUCUUACACACUUUUUCUCCAGGUCACCAUAGUUUAAAACAGACUAACUCUUCCACUACUAUAAAGCUGAAGAUAAUACAUAAAGCGAUGACGAUGUUUUGGUCUUAUUUUAAUUUAUUAGAGUCAAGGAGUUGAGUAGUAGACAACUUCAAAACUAAGAGGAAUACACUUCUUCCUUCAAAGAAUUUGCCAAUCUUCAUCCAGGGAAAUAGAGACUGAAUAGAAAGCAGUAGUUUGAAGACUAUAGAAGGCUCUCAUGGGUGGGGUGACAGAGGUUGGAACUCUAGGCUGUAAAAGACUAGUAAAAGAGAGGAGAGAAAACAGCAGAGAACCAGAGAGACAAUAGCAUGAGAAAGACUCCACCUGACAUUGCUGAUUUUGAAGAUAUAAGAAAAAUAGAAAGUCAAGGGGUGCAGCUGCCUCUACAAGCUGAAAAUAGCCUCCAAUUUGUGGAGGAAGCUCCUUUCACUCUUAUAUUACUCUAUGCUGAUGUCAUAAAUCAAUACAGAGUUGCCAGUUUGCCUAGAUGCUUCACCUGGGUUUUGAACACACUUUCUGCUGGCUGGCAAUGGUGAUGCCAUGAGCAACUUUGGAAGCACCUGUUACAACCACAUUUCCCAGUGAAGGUUUCUUGGUCCAUGUCUUGGAUUUUAAAAUCAGAGAAGCUAAUUCAGAUGUGUGAUGAGGAGGACUCUCAUGGAUGGGGUUUGGGUACAGAUAGAAAGAAUGACAACAUUUCCACAGAAUAGAUCACAAUGAGCUUUGUCAACAUAAAAGUGGGGAUGUAACUGAUAUUUAAUAGCUCAAAGCUUUAUGCUAAGCAUAUUACAAAUAAAAACUUUCAUUUGUCCUUUAUAUUUCCCCUGCUGGAGAACAAACUACAGUUUGUAUCCAUCAAAUAAGAAUGAAAUUCAACACCUUACCUUUCAAUAAUAUUUAUUCAUGGAUUCCACUCUCCCCUCAAUAAUACAGACUCCAGAGAUUUAGGUACGUGCCGUAUUUUCUUAAGUUGACAUAUGUCCAAGGUGUGUAUUAGGAUAUUAAGACACCAAAUAGAUUCAAUAAAGUAUAGAUAGUGCAUCCAUAUUUUGUUCCGUCUUUGUUUUGCCAAUUUCAGAGAAAGAGAAAGAGGGAAGACAAACGAAAACAUGUCUACUAAACAAAUAUGGCUUUGUUCCAGCACAGCCAAGUAUAACUUUACCUACAAAAUGAUUUUAAAAUGCACUUGACAAGAGGGUUUAUUAUGUCAUUAAUGUGCUUCCAGGCCUGUUUUAUUUUUGCAGUUGGCAAUUGCCAUAGCAACUUUAGAAGUUCAGAACUUCCUGGUGCUUCCUUUCUGUACAGAGAGUUCUUUCUUGUAUGUACUGAGUAAUGAAUGGCAAAGUGAAGAAAGGAUGAAAUGAAUACAUAAGGGAAUGAAAGAACGACCAAAACAGCAAUAUUCACCUUAUCUGGUUCCUCUGCUGGCACUAGUAAACUACUCGUAAUGUUCUAACGCAUGGUUUCCUAAGGAAAAACUCUAUAAAAGCCUCGAUCACCAGGUGGUGUAAAAUAAAUUUUGAAAUGAU